rnacentral:rRNA from 1 species
UACAGAGGGGGCAAGCGUUAUUCGGAAUCACUGGGCGUAAAGCGCACGUAGGCGGCUUUUUAAGUCGGUGGUGAAAUCCUGGAGCUCAACUCCAGAACUGCCUCCGAUACUGAAAGGCUCGAGUCCGGGAGAGGUGAGUGGAACUGCGAGUGUAGAGGUGAAAUUCGUAGAUAUUCGCAAGAACACCAGUGACGAAGGCGGCUCACUGGCCCGGUACUGACGCUGAGGUGCGAAAGCGUGGGGAGCAAACAG